GGCACCACCUCUUCCCAUCCCGAACAGAGAAGUUAAGCCCGCCAGCGCCGAUGGUACUGCGUAAAAGUGGGAGAGUAGGCCGCUGCCAAAU
rnacentral:rRNA from 1 species